rnacentral:lncRNA from 1 species
AACCUGCUUCUCCAUCUCAACAAAUAGUAUCAGCCCGCCCGCCUUCAAACUAGAAAACUUGAGUGUUAUCCUCAAUGCCUCCCUCUUCCUCAGCCCUCACAUCCCCUUGUCAGCAAGUCCUAUCAUUUCCACAUUGGAAAGACAUCACAAAGGUGGCCACCUCUCUCCAUCUCUACCGCCACCACUGCAGGUAGUGUGACGAGUCACCACCAUCUCACCUGGAUGGCUGUGAGUCCGCAUGGUCCAUGAUCUUUCCUCUUCCACAACCACCAUCUUCCUGUGGCUUACAAGGUUCUACGCCAGAUCCCAGCUUCACCUGAUGUCCCCUCUCCUCAUCACUCUUGUCCCUCUAGCCUCACUGGCUUC